GGUCUCGAUAGCUCAGUGGUCAAGAGCACUGUCCCGGAAAGACAGGGGCGCGGGUUCAAUUCCCGCUCGAUUCC